UGGGUAGUCCGCACGAGCGCACCCUAUCCUUAGUUGCUAGCAGGUAAUGCUGAGAACUCUAAGGAGUCUGCCGGUGAUAAACCGGAGGAAGGUGGGGACGACGUCAAGUCAUCAUGGCCCUUACGUGUAGGGCUACACACGUGCUACAAUGGCGCAUACAGAGUGCUGCGAACCUGCGAAGGUAAGCGAAUCACUUAAAGUGCGUCGUAGUCCGGAUUGGAGUCUGCAACUCGACUCCAUGAAGCCGGAAUCGCUAGUAAUCGCGUAUCAGAAUGAUGCGGUGAAUACGUUCCCGGGCCUUGUACACACCGCCCGUCACACCAUGGGAGUGGGUUGCUCCGGAAGUAGAUAGUCUAACCCUCGGGAGGACGUUUACCACGGAGUGAUUCAUGACUGGGGUGAAGUCGUAACAAGGUAGCCCUAGGGGAACCUGGGGCUGGAUCACCUCCUU
rnacentral:rRNA from 1 species